rnacentral:lncRNA from 3 species
CUAGAGCGGAAAUGCAGUGUCUGCAAGUUUUGCUACAGAUCGAACUUCUCCCUGCGAGAUGAGCCGGACAUUCGACGAAGUGGAAAAUUGGGCAAGCUAACGACGAAGAAAAUAUACUAUGAUGCAAGAGCGCCGUUGAAAGUAAAGAUGUUCGCUUGGGGAUCGCCUUUCCACAAAAGGAAACCUGCUGAAGAAAAAGAUAGUGCAAACGUCGAUUUUGCACAGGGGGAAGAUUAG